CCUUACUCCGAUCCGCCGUUACGUGUCGUCGCAAUUGAUUUGUGUUAUAGGGAUUGUCAAGAAAAUGAGCUCAGAUAUGUUAAGGCUAGCCAUUCUUUUCUUUUGGCAUGAUCCGAUACAAAUGAAACGAGCAAAUGCACAAUUUUCAUAAGUGACUCUAUUCAUAGAAAUGCUAGAGAUGCUUAUCUUCUUGGUUCCCCAUGUGUCAUAUUAUUCUAUCUUCUGUUCAUGGGUCUUAGAAAAUACCUAAGUUGAUAAAGUUUACUUCAUGAUAUUAAUCAGAGGCAUAAUGGUCUUAUGAUGUUCCGAGAGGUUUUAUCGAUGUAAUUAUCAUGCGUUGCAUUCAAUUAUACAUGUACAUUGAUCCAUGAACAGAUGGAGUUAUAUACACACAUAUAUGUAUAUUAUAUGUAUAUGGGCUAUGGGAAAAGGCUACGAUGUUAUAACGCAC
rnacentral:lncRNA from 1 species